UUCAAGGCAAGUUUUUUCUUGACAUACAAAUAAUCAGGAAAAUACUGUCUUGAAUGA
rnacentral:pre_miRNA from 1 species